GCGGAAAACACCGUGAAUCCACAGGAGAAGCUGCCCAUGAUGUCAGUGUUAAACACCUGGCCUCGAGCAACUCUCCUGCCUCGGCUUCCCAGAGUUCUAGAAUCACAAGUAUGAGCUACUGUGCCCAGCCUCAUCCAUGCAUUUCAAUCAAAGCUUCACCAUCAUCCUUUCUGACCCACUCCUAAACCUGAAGAAACUCAGUUUUUCGGAGAUGUUCAAAACCUAUUCUCUAAGCUUUAUUGUGGAUCUCCGCACCCCAGGAAGUUUUCUGGGCCUUGGUCUGAGGGCUGAGGUCAGGCUGGGCUUUUUAACCAGCAGACUUUGUCCGGAGGCCCUGACUGCUGUAUCGAAACUCUUCAUCCACAGCCAGGGAA